GCCCCUUUAGUACACUUCUCGCCUCUCUCUCCACCCGAUUCCUCUCUCUCUCUCUUCGUAUUAUUGGCCGGCGACAAAGCUAGGUGAUGGCAGCGACGGACGGCGGCUACAGAUCGGCGAAGCACCGGCGAAGAGGUGGUCUAGGCGGCGGUGGCAGUGGGCGUUAAUGGCGGCAAGGCAAUCCGGCGGUGGCAAUGCGUGACCGGCGACCCUUGUUUCUUUUUCGUUGGCGGUGAGCAGUGGCGGGUCCGGCGGUGGCAGUCUCCGGCGAAGGCUGUGCGGCGGCGGCGGUGUUGGUUUAGGCAGUAGGGUGAGGUUUCCAUUGAAGUAACUAGUCUAAAGAGUUGAGCCUAGAUUGGAUCGAAUGCUUUACUUUUGGAGCUUAGCUUGAGGUAAGUUUCUAUGUCCGCUCAAACUACUUUGCCCUAUUAAAUAUGCUAUUUAUUUGAGUUGCGUACUUAAAUUAUUUUGAAAUGUGUUAUGCUUUCAAAGUGUGAUAAAUAGCAAAUUAUGGUUAUUUAUGUGUUGGCUCGUGAUUUUCAAAUCUAUUAUAAUUGGGAUUGGUUUGAGUAUUGCAAGAAUCUAUAAUUUUAUGAUAUGUAUUUAUACUACUAUAUUUUAAAUUGGAAGACAAAUAUUAGUUUGAAA